rnacentral:lncRNA from 1 species
CGGCGGCGAUGCCCACACAUAUAAUGGCGGGAAGUGUCGCAACGACGGCCAGCGCAACCUGCCACGCCAUCUGCUCGUCGAGGUCAUUGGUCAGAGAGGCGCGCUGGCGGUGGACUCGGUCAUAGUAGCACCGCACAUACGAGCCGACCGGGUGCUGCGCCCAAAGGGCCUCUCGCUCCGAGACAAAGAGCCACGCGUGCUCGGGGUCAAUGUCGGUGAGCAGCGUGACAUUGUCGACCGUCUGACCGUCGGCGAGUGCAUAGGAUGCCCGAAACCCAGAGAGGUAGAGCGGCUGCGACACGGCCGAGGGACCGCGGGCCACGUAGCGAGACUCUUUGAUCGUGAUGCGGCCGAGGAUGUGACAGUUGGCGGGACAGAGCCGUUCCGAUGUGGCGCCCAAGUCGCGGGCGCGACCGAUGGCCGGCAUGGCGAUCCAGUAAAAGAUGGCCGCGGCCGCGGCGAUACCGAGCGUCCACGACGCCACGACGACGAGACGGGCCUUUAACACUUGGCAUUUUGGCGCCCAGCGGAAGGGGGCGUUGAUCUCGGCGGCGUUGGCUUGCAUGGCGGUUCGGCGAUAGCGCGCAGUGGAUCGAAAAAAUUGUCUUUUUCUGCUCUCGAUAUGCGGCCUUUUUGUGGACCAAAUGCCCGCUUUGUUUGACCAAUCCUAAAUUUUUCGAUUUUCUAUUACACGAUUUUUAAUUCGUGG